GAUCCGGCUGGUGUCGGUCGGCCGCAAGGUAAGCACUGCUCCGAUCGGGUCUUUCCUUCUGGGGAACCAGCGUGCUCUUAAUUGGGUGCGUUGGGGAUCCAGGACUUUUACUUUGAAAAAAUUAGAGUGUUUAAAGCAGGCCUACGCUUGAAUACAUUAGCAUGGAAUAAUAGAAUAGGA
rnacentral:rRNA from 1 species